CGAGCGAUCAUAAGGAAGCUGACUGCAAAUCUGCCGUCAUCGACUUCAAGGUUCGACUCGAGCAAUAGUGAGAGAACGUUGCCGCAGGCAACGGCCCGAAGGGUGAGGAGCUUUAGCUCCGAAUAAUCCUUCCCGCUAUAG
rnacentral:sRNA from 2 species